rnacentral:tRNA from 1 species
GGCAGGCAAGCGGCGAGAACAAAUCGAUGGACUAAGCCUGUAGAUGCCUCGAGUGGAGCAUUCUCGGACGGGGGUUCGAUUCCCCCCGCCUCCACCA